rnacentral:rRNA from 1 species
AGAGUUUGAUCCUGGCUCAGAAUGAACGUUGGCGGCGUGGAUUAGGCAUGCAAGUCGCGCGCGAAACGUAGCAAUACGUGGAGAGCGGCGUAAGGGAGAGUAAUGCAUGGUUAGCUACCCUCGGGACUGGGAUAGCGGCGGGAAACUGCCGGUAAUACCAGAUGACAUCUUCGGAUCAAACGUGUAAAUCGGCCCGAGGAGGUGACCAUGUCCUAUCAGCUAGUUGGCGGUGUAAUAGACCACCAAGGCAAAGACGGGUAUGGGGCGUGAGAGCGUGCCCCCACUCACUGGGACUGAGACACUGCCCAGACACCUACGGGUGGCUGCAGUCGAGAAUCUUUGGCAAUGGGGGAAACCCUGACGCAGCAACGCCGCGUGGAGGAUGAAGUCCCUUGGGACGUAAACUCCUUUCGACCGGGACGAUACUGACGGUACCGGAAGAAGAAGCACCGGCUAACUACGUGCCAGCCGCCGCGGUAAUAC